rnacentral:lncRNA from 7 species
CCUCGCGCGAGCAGUGCCAGUGCCAGUUAUCGGCAGUGCUUUAACCAUCUUGGCAGGGCAGGGCGGAGGGAUCUCUUUUUGGGACGGCCACCGUUUGCUUUUGCCGAGCCGAGCCUGGACAAGCGCAGGGAGUCUAGGGGAGGAAAGCGAGGCGAGCUGUACAAAGGCCCCCCUUUUGGAUCUGAUACUCUUUUGCUUUGCUUUGCUACCUAGGGUUUGCAUCCUGCCGUUGAUGCUGUUGAGACGCUACGCCUACGCGUCGUGUAGCAAGCAAAUCUAUGGCGGUUGGCACGGCCACAGCUCUUCAAGGAUGGAGAUCCACUGGAGGCAUCAGUUGUACGCUUUAGCCCUCUCUCGUCCUCGUCUCGCGCCGCUCCCACCAAAAAAAAACAAGAUGCUGGGUGAGGGUGCACGGCGCCGCCGCAUGGCAUUGGCAUCUUCGUACUGAGGACGGCCGAAGGCUGACGUGCCGUGCCUCUGUUUGAUUCUUUGCAGCAACAAAUACCAAAAAAAAAGGCUUCAUGUAGUAGGACUGGUAGACGCAAGACGCCGUACCACCAUGCAAGUAUGCGGAGGUAGGAUCCAAACGGGCAGACGAUCAGGUACAGAUUGUGCGUGGCCGGAUAUAGGAGAGCAAAAGAAGCAUCAACAAGCUAGCAGUCAUUGAUGAAACGGAUCCUCUCUCUCUAUCCUGUCUCUGUCUUAAAUGAACUGCUGGUGGUCUGCAUGCACUGAACCAGAGCCCGGAGCCCCAGGGGCGGGCCUAGAAUUUGGACAAUAGGUAU